rfam:Myotis lucifugus cont2.44134, whole genome shotgun sequence.
AUAUACUAAAAAACACACACAAUUAGAACGAUAUAGAGAAGAUUAGCAUGGCCCCUGCGAAAGAAUGGCACACAAAUUCAUGAAGCGUUCCAUUAAAAA